rnacentral:rRNA from 1 species
UACGUAGAAGACUAGUGUUAUUCAUCUUUAAUAGGUUUAAAAGGGUACCUAGACGGUAUAAUUAGUCUAAAAUAAGAUACGGUUAUACUAGAGUUAUAUAUGAGGAGGUGAGUAUUUAUGGAGUAGAGUUGAAAUUCUGUCAUCCCAUAACGACUGGUAACGGCGAAAGCAACCUUUUAUCUAAUAACUGACGUUGAGGGACGAAGGCUCGGGUAACGAACAGG